rnacentral:rRNA from 1 species
AAGUCGAGCGGACAGAAGGGAGCUUGCUCCCGGAUGUUAGCGGCGGACGGGUGAGUAACACGUGGGUAACCUGCCUGUAAGACUGGGAUAACUCCGGGAAACCGGAGCUAAUACCGGAUAGUUCCUUGAACCGCAUGGUUCAAGGAUGAAAGACGGUUUCGGCUGUCACUUACAGAUGGACCCGCGGCGCAUUAGCUAGUUGGUGGGGUAAUGGCUCACCAAGGCGACGAUGCGUAGCCGACCUGAGAGGGUGAUCGGCCACACUGGGACUGAGACACGGCCCAGACUCCUACGGGAGGCAGCAGUAGGGAAUCUUCCGCAAUGGACGAAAGUCUGACGGAGCAACGCCGCGUGAGUGAUGAAGGUUUUCGGAUCGUAAAGCUCUGUUGUUAGGGAAGAACAAGUGCGAGAGUAACUGCUCGCACCUUGACGGUACCUAACCAGAAAGCCACGGCUAACUACGUGCCAGCAGCCGCGGUAAUACGUAGGUGGCAAGCGUUGUCCG